rnacentral:lncRNA from 1 species
UGAGAGAGUAUUUGUGUUAUUAUUGUGUUGAUUUUUCUCCGAAAACUAUGUCAAGAAGGGAUUUUAGUGGAUAACGUAAAUUGAUUGCAAAGUUAGGUUGUUUUGUCUUGAAUCUGGUCAACUCUUAACUAUUAUUGCGGCCGAAAUGAUCUAGGCCGAUACAUUACCAAAAUUCUUAAACCAACACAGGUUUGGAGUGAAUUUUUUUAGCAAAACUUAAAUUCUAAAAUAUUUCUAAGAUCCUCUCAAACAAUAAUUUUUCCACGACUCACAGUCGCCAUUAUUUAAAAUCCUCGUUUCGCUGGUGUCAUAUUAUUUUAACAUAAUUAAUAUGAAUGUCAGUGGUUUGAUAGCUAGCUAAGAUCUGACCGUUUUUUACUUUAUCAUUACUAGCUUUUAGACGUGAUUCACGUGAAUCAAUUCUCUAUCAAGUGUAACCAAUAUUUAGUUACUUUGAUAACCAAGGUGUCGCUUCAAUCAUCGUAGUAUGGUUAAAAUUAACUAUACCACUAAUGAACUAUUUGCAAAAAGAAUUGU